CACCGGCGGGGGAGCAGGGGGAGUGGCGGGGGCACGAGGCUUCCCGACCCAGGGGAUCUGAUCUUCUUCCAUUGCUUCAGGCCAAAGAAUCCUCAGUGGCCCUCCACAGUGCUCUUGGGCAUUUGGUCCUGCACAGAGCCAAGGACUCGGCAUUUCACACCACACUUAGAGGGCAGAGACUGUGCCCAGUACAGAGUAUCUACAGGAGAAACAUCCAGUGUGCUCUCCCUCCGGUCCAUCCCUGGGACCACCCCUCCCCGUGGAGUUCCUCUGACCCGGGAGUUUGCAUCUCCUCUGCAGCCAGGAGGAAUCCACGCUCAAGGCUACUGUGCACUGUCGUGAAAGCUGCACCGGUACUGGUACUGAAAUCCAGCCCGCGCUGGUCUCCAAGCUAAGGGCCCACGGAGCAGGCUUACUAAUUAUGCCUCUCAUUUUCUGUAUUACUGAUGCUUUGGCAUCUUGGGUCCUUACUGAUCCUGUAGGCUUCCCCUUCCCGUCAUAGUAAACAACUUGCCUGAGAGCAUGUCUUUCCCUUGCAAACCAACCAGAGCCCACGCCCCCAGUGACUUCCUUUAUCCAACUGUCACACAUAAGCCCAUAUUCUUCCCACCCUAAGUUACCGGAAGGUCAGAUAACAGACACCCAGACAGCCCCUGCGGCCCAGAGCUGGCCUGAGAUCAUUCAAACCAUGCAGUCCUAAACUUGUUCCAGCUGCCUACCCUGCCCUGCCCAUUCCUUGAUGCAGAAUCCACAACAAAGCUCAGGUCUUGUUCUCCCCUCCCUCCUGCUUCCUGAUGGACCCCGGUGCCCGCCCUGUGUGGCCCUGCAUGGGGUGGCACCAGAAUGGUGAAUAACAAACUCUUCUUCCAAAAGCAGCGGCCACAUGUCUGUCACCUCAGCAUAGCCGAUAAAAGCCAAUCCCAGGACACAGUUCUCAGAGCAAAGCGAUACCACAUCACCUUCCCUCAUGGAGGCUUCUAGGUGAAUAGAGAAUUUAUAUGCAGAUCAUAUUAGCUACAACCAGUCCUGCUUCCCCCCGGAGAGUUCUACACGGAAGUCAUCAGAGAUCACUCAAGCUGAACUCCAAUGGCUCCUACUAUUACCAAAACAUCACGAGGACCCCGUCAAGGCAAGACACCAGAGCAAGCAUCAGCCAUUCCAUAAGGAGAAACAGUGCGGAAACUGGUGCUCACCUUCAGAAGGGAUGCUGACUGAGACCUGCGAAUGCCCCUUGCUUGUCGAGCUGGGUCUCACAAGGGAAUCAGCAUCAGUCAACCAGCGUGCAUGGAAUCCUUUGACCACGCCAUCCCCAUAGCCACCUUUCAGAGAGGGAGGGACCCUGCCGGCCGCAGCUUUGCAGAGCCCUGGGGUGGGGAGCCUGUGCCCAGCUGUGUCUACACCGCCUUGCGAUGGGUUUGUCUAUUACCAUCUCCACUCUAGUCCGUGCGGAAAUCAAUACCACCUGGCCCUGCAGAGCACAAUCCAGCCAUUAAAACGGUUCAAUUCAUUGUGGCAAACGUAUGUUCUAGAAAUCACUAUUUUUUGUAUGUAUUCAGGUUCUGAUUCUACGUCAACAGAACAAUAAUGGGGAUCUUAAGAACAUGGGCUUCGCGAGUCCCCUUGCAUUUUCCUGUGUGAGAAAUAAUGCUGAAAUUAUCUUCCAAGGACACACUUACCCUUACUCUCAGCAAGCUGCUGUGAGUUCCAGGUGUGAGGGAAGGACUUGAGCAGUGACCCACAGCGGCUUUUCAAGCCAUGCUAGAUCCCCGCCCCUUUUCCUACAACAUUUUUAUGCUUUUCAAAGGGUUCAGUUGUCCUCUGCCUUGUGUAGUUCUCAAGCAAUCUAAUUGGAAAGUAAGGUCAGAAGCUAUGAUUCUGAGCAAGCAUUUUACUGAUAAGGAUACUGAGGUGAUCCUGUAGCAAAAUCUUCCAUAAAAUCAAGAUGGUCCCUUCUCCAUUUUAGACAGAGAAAUCCUUGCAGUUUUUAAAGGCUGUUGACCCGCAGAGGACCUUCCCGGGCCAACCCACAGUAAGAGGCAGGCACCAAGCACGUUGAAAUUUGCUGGGUGCUUCAUACACGGUAACUUCAUCCUCCCAAUACCCCUGCCUUCAUCCGCAUUUUACCGUUGAGGACACUGAGGCAUGGAGAAGUUAGGUGAUGCAACCACAGUCACACAUCUUAUAAAUGGCUGAGCUGGGACUGACCCCAGGCAGCGUGGUACCCAGCAUGGUUCUCUUAACCCCUACACUUUGCUCAUGGACAGACAGGGCACUCCUCUGCUGAGGCAGACCACAUCCCUGACUUUACACUUAUAGAAACUGUCCUUCUCUUGCCCCGGGGAAUUAGGUCACCGCCAUUCUUUUCUAAAUAAAACUCCCUGGACUUGAAGCCCAUUAUUAAUCCCCUUCGUCAGGCUUCCGUGGUUCCAGCUGAGUCGUUCUGGUUUCUGAGUUUCAUUGUUCAGAUCCAUUCAUGGCUUUGUCUAUUACCACCUCCACACCCCUCACUGUGGGUCAUCUGCCAUCAGAUAGUAUCCUCCAAAUGCAGCUCAAGAAAGGAAGAUGAAUGGGGCUUGUUCUAAGGCUUUAAACUAAAAGGCAGCUGAUAGAAUGGGAGAAGACAUUUGCAAAUGACACAUGGGAUAAAAGGUUAGUAUCCAAAAUCUCUAAAGAGCUUAUCAAACUCAAUACCCAAAAAGCA